GACGAACGCUGGCGGCGUGCCUAAUACAUGCAAGUAGAACGCUGAAGGAGGAGCUUGCUUCUCUGGAUGAGUUGCGAACGGGUGAGUAACGCGUAGGUAACCUGCCUGGUAGCGGGGGAUAACUAUUGGAAACGAUAGCUAAUACCGCAUAAGAGUAGAUGUUGCAUGACAUUUGCUUAAAAGGUGCAAUUGCAUCACUACCAGAUGGACCUGCGUUGUAUUAGCUAGUUGGUGGGGUAACGGCUCACCAAGGCGACGAUACAUAGCCGACCUGGGAGGGUGAUCGGCCACACUGGGACUGAGACACGGCCUAGACUCCUACGGGAGGCAGCAGUAGGGAAUCUUCGGCAAUGGACGGAAGUCUGACCGAGCAACGCCGCGUGAGUGAAGAAGGGUUUCGGAUCGUAAAGCUCUGUUGUAAGAGAAGAACGAGUGUGAGAGUGGAAAGUUCACACUGUGACGGUAUCUUACCAGAAAGGGACGGCUAACUACGUG
rnacentral:rRNA from 1 species